GGGCUGUGCCUGCCAGGACAGAUUCCAUCUCAUCAUGAACCACUGACAUCAAACUUGUGAAGCAUUUCCAUUGAAUCGUUGGAAGGACUUCAUGUUCAGAUAGGGUUUGGAGAUGGGUGUGGUGCUGAAUGCUCCCGUUUUGUGUUGACGCACAGUCCCACA